UACAGAGGUCUCAAGCGUUGUUCGGAUUCAUUGGGCGUAAAAGGGGUGUGUAGGUGGCGCGCUAAGUCGGGUGUGAAAUUUCGGAGCUUAACUCCGAAACUGCAUUCGAUACUGGCGUGCUUGAGGACUGGAGAGGAGACUGGAAUUCAUGGUGUAGCAGUGAAAUGCGUAGAGAUCAUGAGGAAGACCAGUGGCGAAGGCGGGUCUCUGGACAGUUCCUGACACUGAGACACGAAGGCCAGGGGAGCAAACGGG
rnacentral:rRNA from 1 species